ensembl:lncRNA
CCUGGGGCUUCAUCCCUCCUGAGUCAGUCUCCCAGCCCAAGCGCGGUUUUCCUGACCGGAGGCUUCUCCCCUUCCAUUUUAGACAAUGUGGCCACUGUCGCCACUGCCCAGCGCAGUCGCAUCGCGCAGGACACCAGAUACCAUCUUAGUGCCCAGAACUGGCUACGGCCCUGCGGGUUUCCAAAGUCCUUCCUUCUAACAAAAAGCCCAUCCCUUCUGUUUGUUCUAACUCGGGUCCGAAAGCAAUUCAGAUUUUUUUCAGAUGGUCUUAAGACCCAUUUACCCAUCUGCAGCUGAACACUGAGCCAUCAAAACAGGCCACCUGCGCCACCUGCUGGUCAAACACAGUUACUGUGACUGGAAGGGACACGUACAGGAGAAGAAAAGCUUUGGAUACCAUCAAAGUUCAUCAAGAUUCGAGUCAAAAAAGAAAAACCUCUCGAUGAGGAGAAAUGACAGGUCAUCCACCAAGGUAUAUCUCAUAAACUGUAUAGAAACAAGGAAAGGGAAGUGUUUUGUUUUUAUCUUUACAGGGAAACUCAUCUCCAGAAAGCAAAAAGACACUGCACGGGUGGAUACUUAAAGAAAAGAACGUAACUAUCCAAAAAGAACCACUGAACAAAAGGAAUUUGUCGUAUGGUAAACUCUAAAAAUGUCUCUAUAUACAAUCUAUUUCUCUUUAUUUCCUAGUCCCUAUUCAAUUAGGCCAAUGCUGGCUUAGGGUUGGAUUUGGCUUUCCUCCUCUAAAUCCAAUGAUGUUGAUAAAAUAAAAUUCAAAGUUUCUGUACUAUAUCAAGAAGCCAAUUGAUGUAAUACAGAAUAAGAGAAAAAAUUGGGGAUUGUCAUUUGUCUAUUCUUGGCUCUUUCUCUGAAAGUAUAAAUUCCCUCAUAAUUAUUAUUUUUCUUAUUGUUGCCUUUCCUGGUAUGCAUACACAUAAAAGUUAAAAUUUCUCUGCUAACAUUAAUGUUUAAGUUCCCCACAGCCAAUGAAGAACUUCCUAACAGCAGUCCUUGAACUCUCUGGAAAGAAAUUGGUCCCCACCUGGAUCAAGUCCACUGGAUCCAACUUGAUUCGUUUGAACUGACACUCUGGCCAGAGCUUCAGGUACUGACUUCAAUCAGCACAAGGACUUCAAUCAAGAUAAGGACUUCAACCUAGACCUUCAAUAAAGCAUCUCUCAUCAAACACGGACUGGAUACAUGUGUUGCAGAUAAUCCACUCAAGACUUUGACUAUUCUAACAUUUUCUUCCUACAGGACUCCGUGAGGCUAUCGUUGUCCCAUUUCAGCAGGAAGUAACUUGGAGAAUACUACGCCCCCUUUUCCCACUGUUGACCCUAAGGAUAAUGUAUACCUAGUUAGGGCUAGUUUCCUAUUGUUUAGGGUUGGGUUUGGAAGGAGGUGUUCGGGCUUAGACAUCUCUUUCAGAUCACUUUAGAAUUUAGAUGGAAUACAUAUAGUUAGGAUGUGAUAUAAGUAGAUUAUCAUAUCUUCUUGUAAUUCACCUUUAUGAUUGUUAAUUAUAGAUAAUUUACACUGUUAAGUUUAAAUCCUCUUUAGACUAAAAGGGGAAUUGUAGGGAGA